CUAGGGGAUGAGUGAGAUUGUUGCAUAUUUACAUUGCUGGUAUGUAUUAUGCAACGUUUCACUCUACUCCGGGGA
rnacentral:pre_miRNA from 1 species